rnacentral:sRNA from 1 species
UACUAGCCCUGAUUGUAGCGAUAUCCUUUUAUUUUAGUUAGUAGCGGCAGCAUAAAACUAAAAUAAAAGAUACAAGCGGAAAGCAGGAAGUAGC